rnacentral:snoRNA from 1 species
AGGUGAAUUUUAGGUCCGAAAGGAUCAUAGCGGAUUUCUGUGAGGCGAUUCCGUCGUCAUUGAUCGCUUAAAGUUGUUACACACACUGAAGCCU